rnacentral:rRNA from 1 species
AACGAACGCUGGCGGCAUGCCUAACACAUGCAAGUCGAACGAGACCUUCGGGUCUAGUGGCGCACGGGUGCGUAACGCGUGGGAACCUGCCCUUAGGUUCGGAAUAACUCCCCGAAAGGGGUGCUAAUACCGGAUAAUGUCUUCGGACCAAAGAUUUAUCGCCUUUGGAUGGGCCCGCGUUGGAUUAGCUAGUUGGUAGGGUAAAAGCCUACCAAGGCGACGACCCAUAGCUGGUCUGAGAGGAUGAUCAGCCACACUGGGACUGAGACACGGCCCAGACUCCUACGGGAGGCAGCAGUGGGGAAUAUUGGACAAUGGGCGAAGGCCUGAUCCAGCAAUGCCGCGUGAGUGAUGAAGGCCUUAGGGUUGUAAAGCUCUUUUACCCGGGAUGAUAAUGACAGUACCGGGAGAAUAAGCUCCGGCUAACUCCGUG